UACAGAGGGUGCAAGCGUUAAUCGGAAUUACUGGGCGUAAAGCGUGCGUAGACGGUUUCGUAAGUCGGGUGUGAAAUCCCCGGGCUCAACCUGGGAAUGGCAUUCGAGACUGCGGAGCUAGGGUGCGGAAGAGGGAAGCGGAAUUUCCGGUGUAGCGGUGAAAUGCGUAGAUAUCGGAAGGAACAUCAGUGGCGAAAGCGGCUUCCUGGUCCAGCACCGACGUUCAGGCACGAAAGCGUGGGGAGCAAACAGG
rnacentral:rRNA from 1 species